GACGAACGCUGGCGGCGUGCUUAACACAUGCAAGUCGAACGGAAAGGCCCUGCUUUUGUGGGGUGCUCGAGUGGCGAACGGGUGAGUAACACGUGAGUAACCUGCCCUUGACUUUGGUAUAACUUCAGGAAACUGGGGCUAAUACCGGAUAGGAGCUCCUGCUGCAUGGUGGGGGUUGGAAAGUUUCGGCGGUUGGGGAUGGACUCGCGGCUUAUCAGCUUGUUGGUGGGGUAGUGGCUUACCAAGGCUUUGACGGGUAGCCGGCCUGAGAGGGUGACCGGCCACAUUGGGACUGAGAUACGGCCCAGACUCCUACGGGAGGCAGCAGUGGGGAAUAUUGCACAAUGGGCGGAAGCCUGAUGCAGCAACGCCGCGUGAGGGAUGACGGCCUUCGGGUUGUAAACCGCUUUCGCCUGUGACGAAGCGUGAGUGACGGUAAUGGGUAAAGAAGCACCGGCUAACUACGUG
rnacentral:rRNA from 1 species